rnacentral:rRNA from 1 species
UGCAGUCGAGGGGCAGCAUAAUGGAUAGCAAUAUCUAUGGUGGCGACCGGCGCACGGGUGCGUAACGCGUAUGCAACCUACCUUUAACAGGGGGAUAACACUGAGAAAUUGGUACUAAUACCCCAUAAUAUCAUAGAAGGCAUCUUUUAUGGUUGAAAAUUCCGAUGGUUAGAGAUGGGCAUGCGUUGUAUUAGCUAGUUGGUGGGGUAACGGCUCACCAAGGCGACGAUACAUAGGGGGACUGAGAGGUUAACCCCCCACACUGGUACUGAGACACGGACCAGACUCCUACGGGAGGCAGCAGUGAGGAAUAUUGGUCAAUGGACGCAAGUCUGAACCAGCCAUGCCGCGUGCAGGAUGACGGCUCUAUGAGUUGUAAACUGCUUUUGUACGAGGGUAAACGCAGAUACGUGUAUCUGUCUGAAAGUAUCGUACGAACAAGGAUCGGCUAACUCCGUGCCAGCAGCCGCGGUAAUACGGAGGAUUCAAGCGUUAUCCGGAUUUAUUGGGUUUAAAGGGUGCGUAGGCGGUUUGAUAAGUUAGAGGUGAAAUUUCGGGGCUCAACCCUGAACGUGCCUCUAAUACUGUUGAGCUAGAGAGUAGUUGCGGUAGGCGGAAUGUAUGGUGUAGCGGUGAAAUGCUUAGAGAUCAUACAGAACACCGAUUGCGAAG